AUGUCUUCCCAACAUCUAGCUGUACCGGCCGAGUUGUCAACUAGGAAGUCUGCAUCUGCAGUUCAUUUGGAACCACUACAAGCACAUCACUCCUGGGUGUUGUUCUGCAAAGGGGCAUUUUGGAAUGCUGAUGACAAAAAAUGCCCAUUGGAGCUGCAGGAAUUGGCUCGGAAGUUCAUAGCGAAGUGUCAAGGCUUGCCUAUUGCUACUGCAUGCAUUGGUCGCCUACUCUCAUGCAAACCCCAAAAUUCCGCCAAAUGGGAGGAUGUGUAUAGGUGUUUGGAUUCGCAGUUUGCGAAAGAUGUGAUCCCUCAUGCUCAUUUGAUCCUAAAGGUCAGCUUGGAGGACCUUCAGUAUGAUUUGAAGAAUUGUUUCCUACACUGUGCAUUGUCCCCAGAAGAUUAUGUUUUAAAGAGGAGGAAGACAAUGAGGCAGUGGAUCACGGCAGGGUUUAUCACAGAAAAAGAUGAGAGCAAAACAUUGGAGGAAGUGGCAGAGGGAUACUUGGUUGAGCUUGUGAACCGAAGUCUAUCGCUUUUUUGGGCGGUCUCAUUUGUCUAUGAAUGUUGGUUUCUCAGUGAUGCUGAUUGA
rnacentral:rRNA from 1 species